rnacentral:rRNA from 1 species
UACGGAGGAUCCAAGCGUUAUCCGGAUUUAUUGGGUUUAAAGGGUGCGUAGGCGGUUCGAUAAGUUAGAGGUGAAAUUCCGGGGCUCAACUCCGGCACUGCCUCUGAUACUGUCGGGCUAGAGAAUAGUUGCGGUAGGCGGAAUGUAUGGUGUAGCGGUGAAAUGCUUAGAGAUCAUACAGAACACCGAUUGCGAAGGCAGCUUACCAAACUAUAUCUGACGUUGAGGCACGAAAGCGUGGGGAGCAAACAGGAUUAGAUACCCUGGUAGUCCACGCAGUAAACGAUGAUAACUCGUUGUCGGCGAUACACAGCCGGUGACUAAGCGAAAGCGAUAAGUUAUCCACCUGGGGAGUACGUUCGCAAGAAUGAAACUCAAAGGAAUUGACGGGGGCCCGCACAAGCGGAGGAACAUGUGGUUUAAUUCGAUGAUACGCGAGGAACCUUACCCGGGCUUGAAAGUUAUUGACGAAUCUGGAAACAGGUUUUCCCUUCGGGGCAAGAAACUAGGUGCUGCAUGGUUGUCGUCAGCUCGUGCCGUGAGGUGUCGGGUUAAGUCCCAUAACGAGCGCAACCCCUACCGUUAGUUGCCAUCAGGUCAAGCUGGGCACUCUGGCGGGACUGCCGGUGUAAGCCGAGAGGAAGGUGGGGAUGACGUCAAAUCAGCACGGCCCUUACGUCCGGGGCUACACACGUGUUACAAUGGUAGGUACAGAGGGCCGCUACCCAGCGAUGGGAUGCCAAUCUCUAAAGCCUAUCUCAGUUCGGAUCGGAGGCUGAAACCCGCCUCCGUGAAGUUGGAUUCGCUAGUAAUCGCGCAUCAGCCAUGGCGCGGUGAAUACGUUCCCGGGCCUU